rnacentral:lncRNA from 1 species
UGUGGGAGGCAAAGAACCAGGCCAAAGUCUCAUGCUGAAGUCCAGAUUUCCAAACGCAGCCAGAGAGUCAGUGACCAAGGAGGUGGGAGCCCAGACACCCCAGCUCUUCUCCCCCGAAUCUCCCGGGUACUCCCUGGCUCUUGGCAGCCUUGUCCUCGUGAGCCUCCAACAGCCCCCUCACCAGUUGGAUGAAGCCAUAAGCUUUGAAUGGGGCAGUGAAGACCUCAUAGCCAGCUGAUAAAAAGGAGGUGGUGUGACUCUGGUGACACACAGUGAGGAAAUGACAGAGCUGGAGUUUCCGUCUGUUCCACAUUGCUGCAUUUGUUCUGCCUGACUUGGACCCUGGAAAACCUGGCCCUCUUCAAUUUCUGACAAAAGGUAAAAUGUGCAAACUUUGUGAACCAGGAAUUUAUCCUGCAAAAAGGUAAAUGGACAGAGAUGCUCGUUGCAUCCCUAUUUGUAAUAAUAAGAGAUUGGGAAAACUCAAAUGUUCAUCAAAGGAGAAUUGCUUCAACAAUUUUAUGUUGUAAUCCAUGUGAUAGAAUACUGAUAUAUUUUUUAAAAAAGAGGUUAGCUCCACAGAAGUGACAGGAAACUGUCCACAAUGUGUCCUGAGGCCAAAACAAGUUGCAGAACAGUAUGUAAACAGUUUGUAACUUUUUUGUAACUACAUAGGUAAAAAUACUUUUGGCUUUACUUCUUUGUCUGCUUAGACUCCCAGAUUCUCUGAUGAUACCACUCUGGUGCUUGUCCUAAUGGGAAAGUUUCCUGAAAUCCUGCGAUGAGUUUGACAGUUUCAAAAUUCCUUCAAACAUACAGUGAAUGACAGACAAUUCCUGUGAAUAUGUGUGUGUGUGUGUGUGUGUGUGUGUGUUUGUGUAUGUCCUGUUUUCUAUUUAUUUAUUUAAGAUAACCUGAUUGUCAUCCUCGCGCAGGGGCCAUGCUAAUCUCUGUAUUGUUUCAAUUUUAGUGUAUGUGCUGACAAAGCGAGCACUGUAUGCCCUGUUUAUUAUGGAAACAUGUAAUGCUUCUAGAUGGAAGAUAUUUGAUAGGAUAAUAGACAUUAGCAGUGGUUUCCUCUGGAAAGAGAAAAUGGGCAUGCACUUGGCAGAGAAAGCUUCCACACUUUGGCAGAGGAACAGGCUGCUUUUAAUCUAACCCUGUUUCUUUGAGAAGUUGUUCCAUUUCAGCCAAACACCGCUUCAGGAGAACUGAAUGUGAAAACAAAAACACUAGUUCUGCCCCAUCCCUAUCCCGGUCUUCUCUCACUGUUCUCAGCAA